GGGGCUGUUUGGAUUUGACAGCGGGAUGAAAUGGUAUGUAAGCACGCGGAGACUCGUCGGCUAUCUCCUUAAUCAGAGCAGGCAAACAAUUAAUUGGCGAAAACAAUUACGCUCUCGCUGCCUAAUCGAAGCAUAGUAGAUUACUGGCUUUAUCCUGUUAUCAGAUAAUAGGACGAGACAUCGCUCAAGAGAUGUUGUUCCGAAUCUUCUUGAUAAAGCGGUGCAGGUAAAUCGGAAAUAGCAUGCGUAUGCCUCGCUGCGUAUGUAAAAUCUUAAGAGGAUAAGGCUAUGGUUGGUGGUUCAGGUCUUGCCGUAGCACGAAAACAAAGGCUGAAAUAAGCGUGUAGAAAGCAUAUGGUUUCCCUGUUUGGACGCGGGUUCGACUCCCGCCAGCUCCACCC
rfam:Prevotella oralis ATCC 33269 genomic scaffold SCAFFOLD1, whole genome shotgun sequence.